CAUUGCGAAGCUUAGAGCGUUAACCUUUUAAG
rnacentral:tRNA from 1 species